CCCAGAAGCUCCAAAGAACGGGCGCCCCUCGCCCGGGCCAUCCAGCCGCGUGCCCGCGCCACCGCCUAGUCUAGGCUUUGCAACAUGCUUCAGCGGCGUCGCGCGCACUGAGAGCCUCCUAUCCUGGGGCGAAGAGGAGCGGGGGACCCGGGGCGUGGAGGAGGGGACCCUCAGCCUUGGAGUCGACUUUUUGCCGAUGGUCCAAAGCGACACGUCCAAGUCGCCUCCUGUAGCGGCGGUGGCGCAGGAGAGCCAGAUGGAGCUGCUGGAGAGCGCGGCUCCCGCGGGGGCGCUCGGAGCACAGUCAUAUGGAAAAGGAGCCAGGAGGAAAAAUAGAUUUAAAGGCUCGGAUGGAAGCACAUCAUCAGACACUACCUCAAACAGUUUUGUCCGCCAGGGUUCGGCAGACUCCUACACCAGCCGCCCUUCAGAUUCAGAUGUGUCUUUGGAAGAGGACCGGGAGGCAGUACGUAGAGAAGCUGAGCGGCAGGCACAGGCACAGUUGGAAAAAGCAAAGACAAAACCUGUUGCAUUUGCAGUUCGGACCAAUGUCAGGUACAGCGCAGCCCAGGAGGAUGAUGUUCCGGUGCCUGGCAUGGCCAUCUCCUUCGAGGCAAAAGAUUUUCUGCAUGUUAAAGAAAAAUUUAAUAAUGACUGGUGGAUAGGACGGCUGGUUAAAGAAGGCUGUGAAAUCGGAUUUAUUCCAAGCCCAGUCAAACUAGAGAACAUGAGGCUACAGCACGAACAGAGAGCCAAGCAAGGGAAAUUCUAUUCCAGUAAACCAGGAGGAAAUUCGUCAUCCAGUUUGGGAGACAUAGUACCCAGUUCCAGAAAAUCGACACCUCCAUCAUCUGCUAUAGACAUAGAUGCUACUGGCUUAGAUGCAGAAGAGAAUGAUAUUCCAGCAAACCACCGCUCCCCUAAGCCCAGUGCAAACAGUGUAACGUCACCCCACUCCAAAGAGAAAAGAAUGCCCUUCUUUAAGAAGACAGAGCACACUCCUCCUUAUGAUGUGGUACCUUCCAUGCGACCAGUGGUGCUGGUGGGCCCGUCUCUGAAGGGGUAUGAGGUCACAGAUAUGAUGCAAAAAGCACUGUUUGAUUUUCUAAAACACAGAUUUGAAGGGCGGAUAUCCAUCACAAGAGUCACUGCUGACAUCUCCCUUGCCAAACGCUCAGUAUUAAACAAUCCCAGUAAGCAUGCAAUAAUAGAAAGAUCCAACACAAGGUCAAGCUUAGCGGAAGUUCAGAGUGAAAUUGAAAGGAUUUUUGAACUUGCAAGAACACUGCAAUUGGUAGUCCUUGACGCGGAUACAAUUAAUCACCCAGCUCAGCUCAGUAAGACCUCUUUGGCCCCUAUCAUAGUGUAUGUAAAGAUUUCUUCUCCUAAGGUUUUACAAAGGUUGAUAAAAUCUCGAGGGAAAUCUCAAGCAAAACACCUCAAUGUACAGAUGGUAGCAGCUGAUAAACUGGCCCAAUGUCCCCCGCAGGAAUCAUUUGAUGUGAUCUUGGAUGAGAACCAGCUUGAGGAUGCUUGUGAGCAUCUUGCCGACUAUCUGGAGGCAUACUGGAAGGCCACCCACCCUCCCAGCAGUAACCUCCCCAACCCUCUCCUUAGCCGGACUUUAGCCACCUCAACUUUACCUCUGAGCCCCACCCUCGCCUCUAAUUCACAGGGUUCUCAAGGUGAUCAAAGGCCUGAUCGCUCUGCUCCCCGGUCUGCUUCCCAAGCUGAAGAAGAACCUUGUCUGGAACCAGUCAAAAAAUCCCAACACCGUUCCUCCUCAGUCACACACCAAAACCACCGCAGCGGGACAGGUCGAGGCCUCUCUAGGCAAGAGACGUUUGACUCUGAAACCCAAGAGAGCCGAGACUCUGCCUAUGUGGAGCCAAAGGAAGAUUAUUCACAUGAACAUGUGGACCGAUAUGUCCCACACCGUGAGCAUAACCACAGAGAAGAGACCCACAGCAGCAAUGGCCACAGACACAGGGAGUCUCGCCACCGCUCUAGGGACAUGGGUCGAGACCAGGACCACAAUGACUGCAUCAAACAACGAAGCCGGCAUAAAUCUAAGGAUCGCUACUGUGACAAGGAGGGGGAAGUAAUAUCCAAGAGAAGGAAUGAGGCUGGCGAGUGGAACAGGGAUGUAUACAUCCGCCAAUGACCAUGCGUGUCCCUGCCCCCAAAUCUCGUGUAUCCUUAAAGCAAAAUCUUUGGGGGUUACAUUGCAACCAUAUGUGAUUUGUCUUGUCUAUUUUGUAUUGCUGUUGCUUCAAUAGCAAUGGCAUGCAAUCAAGUAUUACUAUACAUUCUUUUGUAAGUACCACAGAAAUUGGCCUAGUACAGCUGCAGUCCUUCAUCUAUAUCCUGAACUCUUCAAAAGCUGUUUGGGUAGCUGCCACCUCAACAGAGUGGCUCCAGAAAUGUAGUUAAAUAUCCAGUGAGCCAGAUGCAGCACAGACAACAAGUGGGAUUUCUCCAUAUUUUUAAUUCCCAGAUAACCUGACCUGUCAUUCUUUCAUGGACCACUGUUUCUUGCUUGUACCUCUGGCUGACUAAAUUUGGGGACAGAUUCAGUCUUGCCUUACACAAAGGGGAUUAUAAAGUUAGAAUCUAUUUUCUAUGUACUAGUACUGUGUACUGUGUAGACAGUUUGUAAAUGUUAUUUCUGCAAACACCUUAUUAUAAUUAUAUAUAUAUAUGUAUUUAUAAUUAUAUAUGUAUAUAUAAUUAUAUAUACAUAUAUAUACAUAUAUAUAUAUAUCAGUUUGAUCACACAAUUUUAGGGUCUUUAUGCCAAGUCAGCAGAUUUGCUUUAUGAAUCACAGGGACUAGAAAAGCCCACAUUCAGGAAAUUUCUAAUAUUGUCUAGAUACCUCUCCCUAUUCUAAGAGAGAGCCUGUACAUACUGUAAAUACGUGUGAUUGCUUGACUUGAGGCUUGAUUUAUGAAUGUAAUCCCAUCCUUGUAAGUUUUUCAUUUUAACCAUAAAUUAUGGUAAAUGUAACCAAACUCCAGAGGUUUUUCUACUCCAUACAGUCCACACUGAUUGUGACAAACACAUUCUUAGCAGCUAGUGUCUGUUCUAGUCACCGCACUGGAGUAUCCAAGCGGAGCCCACCAUGUGCACAUGCGCGUGUGAGUGAGUGAGUGAGUGAGUAUGUGAACGGCUGAGAUGAAGUGGAACUCAGAAGACAAAUGCGGAAAGCAGAGGCUGCCGGCUGAGAGUUCGGCCCGCCUGGCUGUGUACUUAACUGUGUUGUCUGUUGCUUUCAAACCCACUGAGCAGCCAGGGAAUGUGAGGAAGCUUGCUGCCAAAGGAAUGAAGAAGCGCUUGGCUACCGACACCUUGCCUUUGCCCCUGAAGAGAGAAAACAUGGGCAUCUUGUACUGAGACAUCUCUGAAGGAGAACCUAGAAGACACUUUCUUCUUGCCUCAAUUUGCCCGUGUUAAGAAGCGUAGACUAUACAAUAGCCAAGACUAUAUAAUCUGUCCCUCAAGAGCGCAGUGCUGACGGAUAGAUAGGUAAGACUGUAUUAACCACAAGAGCCCUAGCAUUCCAAGUCUUUCACAGGCAAACGUCUGCCUGUGAUUUCCCAACCAGAUUGGUAUAUUACUAACAAAUCAUGGUUACAAUAAAUAUAUUUUUGUUUUGUUUCCUGGUUAUUUCAUAUUAUUCUGAAAUACUCUUAGGCAUUUAUAUGUAAAGCAGUUUUACAUUUACUACUUUAUCCUAUACCCAAGAAAACUCAAGCAUUUUAGACAGGAGUUGCAUAUAUAUUUUACCAGUGGUUUACCUGCCUAGAGAAUGAAACUUUUCCUUAGAAUCAGCACUAUACUUAGAGGAUUUAUACACUCUACACAGUGAUUUCAGACCCAGAUUUAGAAAGCACUCAUCAGGGACUCUGAGCAGUGAUCUACUCCCCUUCCUGUGUGUGUAUGUCAUCCAGAGGAAUGGCUGAGACAUUCAGCCUCAUGAUGAACAGUGUUUCUCAUACCUACAAUUACCAUGCAUCCCUUUCACACACGUUCUAAUGUUGUCCAUCCAUCUGCUUACUGCGAACAUGUGUGUGCACAUCAUGGCAUCCCUCUACUCUGCCGAAGGAUCUGACACAGGGCACCUAUGUGUGAAAGCACACACUAGGGCUCCAUCAGCAGUGUGUGCUUGACCUCCCAACUGACUCCUGGGAUGUAACACUGCUCUUAAUACAAGCAAAAGUUUAAUCUCAACUGACUCAGUUGUAGAAUCCUGAUUUUUUUUUUUUUUUUCUGUAGUCAAGCCAGGAAAUGCUGGGAAUGUAGUGCUAUACUUCUGUGUCAGUCACUUCAGUUUUCCCUGGGCUUUCUCAACUGCUCAUUUACUUACUGUUACAAAAAAGGUGCUGCUAAAAGUAGGAUGUCUUCAGUCAUACUGUACCACAGACAAUACCACAUUUUAACAUGUCUGCUCUGCAUCCCUGUUCAACACUCACUGUCAUGACACUCAACUGUUUGAUGAACUUGGUUUAAAGUAAUUUAUGGAAAAAAAUAAAGAGCUGGCUUCUGCACUGUUUACCAUUGGUAUUAAUUGCCAUCUUAGGAACGAGUAUACUAUACUACAUUUGACACUUAACGUGGCACAUAUUCUUCUGGCCAAUGCCAAUAGCCUGGUAUUCUUUUGGUAAUCUUCCUUCAAUGUCUUAAGUAAAACAAAACAACAAAAACCAAGGUAA